CUGACUAAUAGUCGGUUGUAAAAGAGAGCACCAAAAAAGGACACACAAGAACCUAAGGACAAUUCAAUUAGGUCCACUCCAUUCGUACAGAAUCUUAAAUGCGAAAAUCCAAUGGUAAACAUACUACGACUGCUGCUGACGACGCAAUUAGUCAGAGUUUAUUUCAUUUAGACAUCUUUGUCUUUUGACCACUAUUACGUCAUAUCUUGUUCGUACGUAAGCAGUAGCGUAGUUCCACCCGAGUGGAACGCUGCCGUGCAGUGGAUUAGCGUGCAUCGACAACGAAGUGUACCAAGCUCAGGCAGCGAUGAGCGCCAUUGCUGUUUUCAUCUGGACAGCCUAUUCCGUCUCUGCAGUCAAUUGGGAACAAGGCGUAUUUAAUUGGACGAAAGGUGCGACCCAGGUAGAGGCUCACGAGUAUCCAUGGAAAGUGUCCAUACAGGCAAAUUAUAGGCCAAAACAACAGGCAUUCGAUUGGGGCCAUGAGUUCAUGGGCGCAAUCCUCAACCACCGCUGGGUUGUGACAGGAGGGGUAAACAUAGUUCAUAAAUGUGUUAAAUAUUCACGCUGCAGAAUUAUUGCCGGGACUACCAACGUUUCCGUAAAUACUCGCCACGGAACGGUGAUAAACGUUGAAAAGGUGUACCCUCAUUACACAAGUCGUCCGAACAGUACCGGGAGACAACUAAGUGUCGAGCCAAAUUUUAGACUUCUGCGACAAAAAGCGACAAUAAGUUCCUACGAUACGUGCUGCACCUGCUCAUUGCUUUCAAACAAAAUAUGAAAAAAUCAGGAAGGUUAAUAACGCUGAUCACCCUUUAAGAUGAAUUAAGUAAGAUACGCUUUUAGGUUCGUAUCUUAUGAUUCGGGUGAUAUCGCUCUAAUCAGAACCCUCGAAAACAUUCCUAUUGAGUCUCCUACAAUAGGCAUUAUUUGCUUAUUGCCUCCAACAAGCCAAGACGACACAGCAUUGGUUGGAAAAUCGUGCUUUACCAUUACGUGGGGUAAAUGGAAGACAAAACUUCGCGAUGACAUACUUUUCAAGAUAGACCUGAAGGUUGUUCCCCAUAUGGAUUGCACGCGUAAUAUCCCUGGACUACCCAGAACGAAUUUAUGCGGAUCCCGCACUGACGCGGGAAAAGAUAAACCGGCCUACACGUGUACUUUGGGUACCGGCGCACCGCUCGUAUGUAAUAUCAAUGGCGUUUAUAGCCUGAUCGGUUUAUCUUCAUUUGGCGGUAUCGACUGUAUGCUUCGAGAACAGCCCUUUGUCUUUGUAAGGACGCAAGACUUUUAUACCUGGAUGAACGAAGCUAUAGAAAUUCACAACUAUCAAGAGCAGGAAAUAGAAUUGGAACCAGAGGAUAGAAAGAAAAGACGCUAUUAAUUAAAAUGUGACACAAGUACGCCACGAGCAUUAAAUUAUGGUUAGUAUAGCGUUACGACGGUAAUAUAUUUAUGUAUGCUUAAUAAAGUUAAUGUAAUUUCACGUUUAAUGUUAGUAGAAAUUUUA